UUGGAUGAGAGGAAAGUGCCGUGUGACAGGUGUCCAGGACAGAGUUCCGCGCACUGAAGACAGAGAGCAGAUCAAUGCAUUUACCGGCGUGCUCACUAAAUACACCGACACUGGCAUAUAAAGCCAAGGGCCUCAGGUCUGUGUAUUAGCAGUAUUUUUAUAACGCUGCUGAUGCGCCGAAUGACGGAAAGAAGACAAGUCAUCUUCAGAAACCUAAUGAAUAAAUGGACGUCCAGGAUGGAUGUUUUGUGUGUUUUCUGUACUUGUCUCACGUUGAGCCACACGCACAAUACCUGCAGAUGAAAAGGUUUUGUUCGUUCGGCUCGCGUUACGCAGAUGCAGACACGCGUCAGUAAAACACCAGAGCAGCGGGACACAUCGACUGACAUUUUACUGCUGUCACACUCUUCACCGAGCCUUAACCAUUCUUAAACAAGUAAUAAUAAAGUAAUUAAACGUUAAUAACAUGCUGAUUAAAAUAACGAAUGCUUACUUAUGAAAUAUGUAGAUACAAAUGUCUCAUUUGUCUCAUGUCUUAUUUUCAAAAGGAAUUCAGUGUUAAAGAAAAUAUGUAAAGAGGUUUUAGCAGUACCACUUGUAAUAUAAGGUCAACAGUUUGUGAAUUAAACCUUUAUUUUGUCAUCUUAUAUAACCACGAAAUUGUAUGUGUGUUUUAAAAACAAUAUAAAUUUAAUAAUCAGUAUACUGCCAAUAAAAUAUUGCCAUUAAACUGAAAUACAUUAUUUUCUAGUCAGAUAAUUGAGAAAGGCCCUAUUGUUUAAUGUGUAAAUAAGUGUGUAAACAUCCUUACUAAAUAUC